CGCGCUCCCGGCCUGUGCGCCCGUCGGGACGCGCGGGACGCGCCAGACUCCCGGCAGCAAACUUAGACGCGCUGCCUGGGGCCCCGGCCCUGAGCAGGUAGAACUUUGAAUGUGCAAGAGGGUUAGCCUCGACUCCUUAGGAGCAGGUGCAGCCGGGAGCCCCCGACCCUUCCUUCCAGGUUUUGGGGGAGGAGGUCCCCAUCAGAAAGCAACUGGAUCUCAUCAAGACUGUUAAGGAAAAGUUGGACAGACUACUUAGAGUUAACGGCCUCAUGUUUUUAAAACUUUUUUUUAUCAUGUUGCUUACACUAAAAUUACAUAUUUACUAAAUUCUCAAAUUGUUUUACUCCAAACCAGGUGUGGUGACACCUGCCUGCCAACCAAACAUUCGGGAUCCUGAGGCAGGGGCAUCGCUGCAAGUGCAACAGCACUUUACUCGUGUGUCUGAUUGACUGAAAGAUGUUGGGAAAUGGUCUUCUCUGUACCACAUAAACAGGGUUGCAAUUGUAUGGUGUGUAGUUACCCUAAAGCAUCAGGUUAAUGUCACAGCGUUACUUACAUUUCUGCCCCGGGAGGGCACAUCGCGGAAUUAAUUUAGGAUAAACCUUAGGCUAUGCUAUCUUGAGCUACUCCCGACCAUGCAUCUUUUCCCCAGCUUCUUUCUGCCUGUUUGAAAGCACUAGCAGGGGCUGAGGAACAGGCCUGCCUUCUGCCUGUGCUGUGGGUGGAGAACUGUUUGUCUUCUUUAGGCCAAACAUGCAGAUAAUUAGUCAGUCCUGGAUCCAGAUAAGAAGAUAUAAGUAUCCCAAAUCGGAACCAGCUCUGCUUGCUUUCUCUGCCCUUUAAAAAGCCAAGUUUCCAGGACUGAAUCGCUUGCACCAGAAAGUUCUAAUGGUUUCACUGUUUUGUUUGCUGGGAUUAUCAUCUCUGCAGAUAACCCAGUGUUUGCAUCACUAAUAGACUUCUUUCAAAGGGAAAAGACAUUUCAGCAGGGUUGGAACAGGCUUCCACGUGUUUUUGUUUGUUUGUUUGUUUUUUGUUUGUUUGUUCCAUUUUGGCAGGAACUACUUCCUUUUUCAGAAAGACAGAUUUUCAUGUAAGGGUUUAAUUUGCCUUAUGGGUUUAGGCCAUAAAUAAAAAGGUCUUUUGUAAUUA